UCGGGUAUGGUGUAACGGUUAACAUUGCCGCCUCUCAAGCGGUUCCGGUUAUUGCGCGGCAGCUCGGGGUUCGAUUCCCCGUACCCGAA
rnacentral:tRNA from 1 species